rnacentral:rRNA from 1 species
CUGUGAUCCUUCUUAACCUGGUAUAAUGGAAGUUACCCUCUGAAUUUAAGCAUAUAAGUAAGUGGUGGAAAAGAAACUUCAAAGGAUUCUUCAAGUAAUGGCGAAUGAAGAAGGAAGAGCUCAUAACUAGAAGCAAAGCCUUGUGCUUUGCGUUGUAAUAUCUUGAUCCGUGACCAGCAGGGCGGCAUGUGUACGUCUUUUGGAAAAAAGCGCAACGAAUGGUGAAAGCCCAGUUCAACACAUGUUUUGCCCGGCGUAACGUCCGGAAUCUCAGAGUCGCGUUCCCUGGGACGGGAGCGUAAAUUAGAUGGUAUAUUUCAUCUAAAGCUAAAUAUCUUCUCGAGUCCGAUAGAGAACAAGUACCAUGAGGGAAAGAUGAAAAGUACUUUGAAAAGAGGGUUAGACGCGCCUGCAACCACUGUAUUACAAGCACUUGGAUCCUUCCAGUUCGCUGGAUCAGUGAGUCGUUCGAAUCGCCAAGCGUGACCCAGUGGAUCGUGCGGUGUUUUGUCCAGGCUUGCGGAAUCCGGCAGAUACUAUCGGUGCAACUAACGGGUCUGUCAGCCAAUCUCGUUGGACCGCUCCUAGAGUGGAUCGCGUGAUGUAGUCGCAGAUCUAAGUUUUGUUUUCUGGAAAGCUGCAUUUUCUUGCAUAGUUACUCCUUAAUUCAUUUGACUGCGUUUACGCUGAUUUUGGGUUGGGUUUAGCUGUAAGGUACAGUCUUUCCGCGGCGCCGAUUCGGUAAAGGUUUCAAAUGACCCGUCUUGAAACACGGGACCAAG